AUGGAAAUUGGAAAAGAGAUCUUCCCUAUCCGAUGCGAUGACAUCGACCUGCCUGACCUCUUCACGGUGUUUCCGGCAAAAAUUUCUUCCUUCCAAGGAAAAUAUCUAGGUCUCCCCCUUCACUUCCGCCAGCUACGUAAGGUCCACCUUCAACCGCUAAUCGACAAGGUUCAUGGCAAACUACCUGGAUGGAAGGGCAACAACAUUGCCAGAGCAGGGAUAACAGUGACAAUGCUAGUGGGGGGGCAUUCGCUUGUAAACUGGAAGAUGGUCUGCCGCCCCAAAGGGCUUGGUGGGCUCGGUAUCGUUGACCUGGAACGCUUCGAGAGGGCGCUCAGAUUUGGCUCGAUAUGGCUUCAAUGGAACGACCCUGAGUGGCCAUGGGCCAAGUCCCAACUGCCUUGUGAUGCUUGCGAUUUCGCCCUGUUUAGAGCCUCCACGGCAAUCACCAAAAACAGAUCAAUGCAUGAUGAGCUCCUAAAUGAGGCUUGGUUCUGCGAUGUGGCCAAGAUGAAUACAUUGGGCCAACUACGGGAAUUCAUUGAGUUGGCUUCUACUGUUACCUCGGCCAAUCUCGACUGUAACACAUCUGACGCCAUCUCUUGGAACUGGAACCCCAGCGGUGAAUAUUCAGCUAGCUCGGCCUAUCAGGCGCAAUUCCUCAGAUCAUAUCCGAGGUUCACGAGCGACAAAAUCUGGAAGGCGCAUGCAGAGCCAAAGUGCAAGCUUUUCUCCUGGCUGGUCCACAACAGGAUCCUAACGGCUGAUUGA
rnacentral:rRNA from 1 species